GUUCGACCUGAGCUCAGGCAAGGCUACCCG
rnacentral:rRNA from 2 species